GACGAACGCUGGCGGCGUGCCUAAUACAUGCAAGUCGAACGCAGUGGGGACGGGUGAUUAACACGUGGGUAACCUCCCCCUCAGAGGGGAUAACACUUGGAAACAGGUGCUAAACCGAUCUAUUGGACCGGCCGAUAUCGGAUUAGCUAGUUGGUGGGGUAACGGCUCACCAAGGCGACGAUCCGUAGCUGGUUUGAGAGGCCGACCAGCCACACUGGUACUGAGACACGGCCCAGACUCCUACGGGAGGCAGCAGUAGGGAAUCUUCGGCAAUGGACGAAAGUCUGACCGAGCAACGCCGCGUGAGUGAAGAAGGUUUUCGGAUCGUAAAACUCUGUUGUUAGAGAAGCGGUAUCUAACCAGAAAGCCACGGCUAACUACGUGCCAGCCGCCGCGGUAAUAC
rnacentral:rRNA from 1 species